AUUUUUGGGUUUUAAACAUCACACAUACUCGACCAAUGUACUCGAGUGCAAGGUCUCCAGGUGCAACAGAAGAUUUUCAAAAUUUUGUACUCCAACGGGCUGUACACUCGAUCUCCAGGUCUUCUGUAGAGUAAAUGUUUUGAAUUUUUACUCUAUCUCCGCGUUGUUCUCUUGUCUCUGAAAACCACAAACACAACUAAAACAAAUCAAAAAUAUCAAGAAAGUAAAAAUUAUUUACAAGGAUAGUCAUGGGACUUCCUCCCAAGUGAGCUUGUUUAAAGUCAUUAGCUUGACUCCUUUACUCCUUUGAUCAUCAAGAAGCUCCUGGAGAUGAACCGAUGUCAACUCUGGAAGGAUUUGGUUUGCUAAGUAUUUCUUGAGCCUUUGACCAUUUACUGUAAAAUCUCCACUCUUACCAGCUAGAGUGACUGCUCCAUAAGGACGGACCUCAGUGAUGCAGAAGGGGCCAGACCAUCUGGAUUUAAGUUUUCCUGGAAAGAGUUUCAAGCGAGAGUUGAAUAGCAGCACCUGAUCACCAACCUGGAAAUCCUUAGUGAUGAUCUUCUUGUCAUGGAAAAGCUUGGUUCUCUCCUUGUAGAUUUUAGAACUUUCAUAAGCUUCUAGACGGAUCUCAUCGAGGUCACUGAGUUGGAUCAAUCGCUUCUCCUCAGCAGUUUUUAUGUCAAAGUUCAGAAGUUUUACCGCCCACAUUGCUUUGUACUCGAGCUCAACGGGUAGAUGACAUGAUUUUCCAUAGAGAAGAUUGAAAGGAGUUGUACCUAUGGGGGUCUUGAAGGCUGUCCUGUAAGCCCAUAAUGCAUCAUCUAGCUUUGCAGACCAGUCUUUCCUUGUAAUCCCAACAGUCUUUUCCAGAAUUGUUUUUAUCUCCUUAUUGGAGAUCUCAACCUGCCCGCUUGUCUGUGGAUGAUAAGGAGUGGCGACCUUGUGCUUUACCCCAUGCUUCUUCAAGAGGUUCUCAAAAACCUUGUUGAUGAAAUGCUUUCCGCCAUCACUGAUUACUACCCUGGGAACUCCAAAUCUUGGGAAGAUUAUGGUUUUGAACAACUUCAGCACAACUUUUGCAUCGUUGGUAGGACUAGCAAUAGCUUCGACCCACUUUGAUACGUAGUCUACGGCGACCAGUAUAUAUUUAUUACCGUAUGAAGAUGGGAAUGGACCCAUAAAAUCAAUCCCCCAUACAUCAAAGAUCUCAACUUCCAAGAUUGGAUUCUGAGGCAUCUCAUUUCUUCUGCCGAUGUUGCCUUUUCUCUGGCAUGAAUCACACUUUGAUACAAACUCCUGAGCGUCCUUAAACAUUGUUGGCCACCAAAAGCCUGCUUGAAGAAUCUUGGACACUGUCUUGAACGUCGCGAAGUGACCACCAUAUGCUGAGCCAUGGCAAUGCAGCAGGAUACCUUCCACUUCAUCUUCUGAGACACAUCUCCUGUAGAUCUUAUCUUCACAGAGAGUGUAAAGAUAAGGCUCAUCCCAGUAGUAAUGGUGUAUGUCUCUGAAAAACUUCUUCCUUUCAUAACUUGUCAGGUUGGGAGGCUCUACUCUGCAUGCCAAGUAAUUGACGUGAUCAGCAUACCAUGGAGAUUCUCCUUCAACAGCAUUUAACUGGUGGAACUCUUUCCCACUGUAGCUUUUUCCGAAGAACUCUAUAACCAUGAGCUGUUCUUCUGGCAUUGAAUCGUCUAUCGGAAGUGGUUCUUCAAUUCUCAUCCUUGACAGAUGGUCCGCUGCGCCAUUUUCAAUGCCUUUCUUAUCUACUAUCUCCAUGUCAAACUCUUGCAAUAAAAGUUUCCAUCUUAACAGUCUUGGUUUAGUAUCCUUCUUGGCAUACAGAUGCCUCAAAGCUGCAUGGUCUGUAUAGACAGUUACCUUUGAUCCAACCAAAUAGCUUCUGAACUUUUCAAAUGCGAAUACAACAGCUAGAAGCUCCUUCUCAGUUGUUGCAUAUCUUCCCUGAGCGUCAUCCAACAUUCGGCUGGCGUAAUAUAUGACAUGAAGCUUCUUGUUUAUUUUCUGGCCUAAAACAGCUCCUACUGCGUAAUCCGAUGCAUCACACAUGAUUUCAAAUGGAUAGUCCCAAUUAGGCGCUCGAACGACCGGAGCAGAUACCAAAGCGUCCUUGAUGGUUUGAAAGGAUUUGAGGCAGUCAUCAUCGAAUUCAAAUUCGGUUUCCUUGCACAAUAGUCUGGUUAACGGUCGGGCUAUCUUGGAGAAGUCUUUAAUGAAUCUUCUAUAGAAUCCAGCAUGACCAAGGAAGCUUCUGAUGUCCUUCACCGUUUUUGGUGGCUGCAGCUGCAUCAUUACUUCAACUUUUCCUUUGUCAACCUCUAUACCUUUCUCUGAUAUCUUGUGACCCAAUACUAUGCCUUCCUUCACCAUGAAAUGACACUUUUCCCAAUUGAGAACAAGAUUCGUCUCCUCGCACCUGGUCAAUACCCUGCCAAGAUUCAACAAACAUGAGGAGAAAGAGGGGCCAUAGACCGAAAAAUUGUCCAUGAAAACCUCCACCAUCUCCUCAAUUAAGUCUGAAAAUAUAGAGGUCAUACACCUCUGAAAUGUUGCAGGAGCAUUGCAUAAACCAAAUGGCAUUCUCUUAUAGGCAAAAGUUCCAUAAGGACACGUGAAAGUGGUUUUUUCUUGAUCAUUAGGGUGAAUUGGUAUUUGAAAGAAACCACUGUAUCCAUCAAGAAAGCAAUAAUAUGGAUGAUUAGCUAAUCGUUCAAGCAUUUGGUCAAUGAAUGGUAAAGGAAAAUGAUCUUUCCUAGAUGCAGCAUUCAACUUCCUAUAAUCUAUGCACAUUCUAUGACCAGUUAUAGUUGUAGUAGGUAUCAGUUCAUCUUUUUCAUUUUUGACAACAGUCAUUCCACCCUUUUUAGGGACGCAAUGCACUGGAGAAACCCAAGUACUAUCAGAGAUAGGGUAGAUGACACCAGCAUCAAGCAGUUUCAAAAUUUCUUUUUUCACUACUUCUUUCAAAUUGGGAUUUAACCUCCUCUGUGGUUCAAUGCUGGAAUAGGAUUCGUUUUCAAGAUGGAUCCUAUGGUUGCAUAAACUAGGUGAAAUUCCCUUAAUGUCGGAUAAUGAAUAACCAAUUGCUCUCCUAUACUUUCUAACCUCAGAUAAUAGCAGGUUCACUUCAUCACUAUUUAACUCAGCAUUAAUGAUCACAGGGUAAGUAGAGUUUGGACCAAGGAAUGCGUACCUUAGAACUUUUGGAAGUGGUUUGAGAUCAACCUUCGGUGCCUUAAGUUCAGACCAGUCAUCUGAAGUUGGAAUGAUCGGCUCCCUAGGUUCGUCGGAAGACAAGGUCGAGUGGUUGCUUGAGUACGUCCUCGAGAGUGCAGGAUGAACUCGAGUUGACCCUUCUUCGCUCAUUACCAUUACCUCUGUUCCUGGUCCAUUUAAUUCCUCAAAGGGUUCUGAUUCUUCCAUCGCUUUAUGGGAGUCUAACAGCUUCUGGUAUCCCAAUGUUUCUAAAUGCAGAACCCAUCUUCACCACUUUUGGUUAAAGCACUGUUAAGAUGAUCUUCUUCUGCCACCUCUUCCAGUAACUCAUCAGCUAACUGAUCCAUUUCUUCGAUCCAAAAGAGUUGCCCUUCUAUGGUAGGCUUCUUCAUCGCGUCUUUGACAUCAAAGGUCAUCCUAAAGUCUUUGCCAAGGUUUAGAUCAAUUUUCCCUUUCUUGACAUCAAUCAUAGCUCCUGCAGUGGCUAAGAAAGGUCUCCCUAGAAUCAACGGGUCCUUGGGCUCUUCAUCCAUCUCCAGGACUACGAAGUCAGUAGGUAUCUCCACAGCACCGAUCCUGAUUGGGAGGUUUUCGAGCAAACCAUGAAGAAUCCUCACUGAUCUGUCAGCUAGGAUGAGGGAUAUAUUGCAGGACUUGUAUUGAGUGAACCCCAAUCUUUUGGCGACAGAAAGCGGCAUGAGACUGACUGAUGCUCCUAAAUCGCAUUGGCAUCUAUUGAAAGCCAAUGGACCUAAAGAGCACGGUAGAGUGAACGAACCAGGAUCACUAAGCUUCUUAGGAAUGAUCUUCUUCUGUAUGAUAGCGCUGCAUUCAUGACUCAAUACCACCAUCUCUUGCACUUCUUGAAUUCUCUCCACAAUCAAGUCUUUCAGAAACUUGUGAGAGUCUGGAAUUAGCGCUAGAGCGUCAACAAGAGGUAUCCGCAACUCAACCUCCUUAAUGUUCUUGGCAAACAUAGCUCUAUAUUUGUCUGCCAACGCUUUCUUGUGACGGCCAGGAAAUGGAAGCUGCGGUUUGUAGGGAGGAGGGACAAAGACCUUUUCUUUGUUUUUGACAGCAACUGGCUUUGGAGCAGUUGGUGAUGCUGCUGGGAUGACAGGUCGAGUGGUCGGUCAAGUAACGCUGUCGAGUGGCAGCUCGAGUGGUUGCUCGAGUGACUGGUCGAGUGGUUUGUCAGCUUGAUCUUUCUCGAGACUUAAAUCCUUCCCAUCUUGAUCUUCACUGUCCUCAGUGACCGUGUUUGGUUCCUCCCUAGUUGGAAGUGCUUUUCCACUACGCAAGGUGAUAGCAUGAGCAUAUUCUUUUGGAUUCUGAACUGCUUUGCCUAGUAGUUGGCUUGUCUGUUUUGGAGCUGAAGAAGAUGCACAAUGUCCCUCUAAGUAACGGACUUUGGUAUUCAGUGUUUCCAUCUUGACAUUGAGAUCAUUGUAGCUACAGUCCAGCUUGUUAUGUAACUCAGAUAUCUUCUUUGCCAUCUCCAUGGAGCCAGAGGCUUGCCCGUGAAGUAGCUGUUGUAGCAUUUGUAGCAUUUGUUUCAUAUCAGCGUGAGGAGCAGCAGGACCUUGGUUUUGCUGAGGUGCAAACCCAGGUGGUGGUGGUUGCUGGUAGUUCCCCUGGAAUUGCUGCUUAGGAACGAAACCUUGGUUGUAGGGAACAAAAGGUUUGUUCUGACCUUGUUGUUGCUAUGGAGGGUACACCUGAUCCUGAGGAUUAGCAACGUUUGUGCUGCGGUAGGAGAGGUUGGGAUUGUUGGUUUUGAAGUUGUUGUAUCCUUUGUAGCCACCUUGGUUGUUGUUGAUGUAGCUGACUUCUUCCAACUGGUUACCCUCCCCAUCUUGGACUUCAUACUGCUCGUCAUCAACAAGGAAGUGCACAUGCUUAUGCUGGCUAAGAAGAAUCCUGUCCAGCUUGUCAUUCAGCGCUUUGAUCUCCUUCCUGUGUUUGUCAUCAGAGUCAGCUGUUCCUCUAACGGUCCUAUCACAGUCCUCGUUGUAAUUGCCAUCUGAUUGAGCCAAGUUCUCAACCAAUUCUCAGCCUUCUUCAACAUCCUUGUUCUGGAAAUUCCCAUUGCUGGCGGUAUGCAGAAGCAUUCUGAUGCGUGGUAGGACUCCUCUGUAAAGAGUGCUGAGAAGAGAGGCUUUAGUAAAGCCAUGAUGAGGGCAUUGGUUGGUGUAACCCUUGAAACGCUCCCAUGCUUCACAGAAGCUUUCACCAGUCUUCUGUGAGAAACCAGAAAUCUCAUUUCUGAGUCUUGCAGUUUUGGCAUUGGAGAAGAACUUUGACAGAAAAGCCUUCUUACAAUCAUCCUAGGUGGUGAUUGAGUCAUGGGGCAGAUUCUUCUCCCAGAUAUGUGCUUUGUCGCCCAAGGAGAAUGGAAACAAACGGAGCUUGAAUCCGUUUUCACUGACACCAUUGAUCUUCGUUAGGUUGCAGAGCCUAUCGAAUUCAUCAAGGUGGUCGAGUGGAUCCUCCAUUGGCAAACCAUGGAAUUUGUUCCCCUGAAUCAUCGAGAUGAGACAACUCUUAAUCUCAAAAUUGUUGUUCUGGAUAGCAGGAGGUGCAAUUCCCUUCCUCUAACGGUGAUCACGUGGUGCAUCUCCAGCACCAAUGUUGGCAUGGCCAUUUUGUUGAUUCUGUUCUUCAGCCAUAACGAGUGGUUGCUGAGGUACAGGGUUGACUGUGGUUCUCCUUUUUCUGAGUUCGCGGGCUGUGCGGUUGAUGUUAUCGUUGAAAAGAAGGUUCUGGUUGCCUAUUGAUCGAGUUCGCAUACAGCAGAGGUGUACCUAAAUCAAGAAGACAACAAGAAAAACACAGUAAGUAACUGAAAAGAAAAUUGAAAAAGAACUUGAUCUAAGCAAGUCUGAAAUCUUAAAUGUAACAAACAAACACCCAAUUGGCAACGGCGCCAAAUUGAUAAUAGGUUUUUAGUCAAUUAUCCUAAAACACCAAUCAUGUCAUUGUAGUAUUUUAGGUUGUCAAUCCAAAUGGGUGUGAUGCUUACAAUCAAGAUGUGAUCAGAAGUCACUAAGUCAAGCCAAGCAUAACAGGUUUUGGUGUGUUCCAGCAGUCCUAAGUGAACAUGCAGAAAACAGAAAAUCAAACAGAAACAGUAAAACACUCGACCAACACAGCUCUUUGCAGAGUUCUGGGGGAGGUCGAGUGACAGGUCGAGUAACAGACAGGAAAUGAAACAGGGAUACUCGACUGCACAGUCUGUUGCCAGACAACUGGGUGGUCGAGUAUCAGAUCGAGUAACAGUAAAGAAUUGCAGAAACUAAGCAACAGAUGACAAUAUGCAGUAAACAGUAGUAGAGUAAACAAUAAAAUCAAUCAGAUAAAGAAUUCCUAAGGAUGGGAUAAUUGAGUAGUUUCGUUUCCUCAGUUUACAGGUGAUUGACAUGCUCAAUAAAUUAACCCUAGACAACAAGUUCAUUAACCAAAUCUAAGUGCCACCGCAACAGAGACUCUCAAGCUAACCUAGUCCCAGACUCAAUCACCAUUGACGAGAGCUAACCUAACAGGCAUUACGAAUCAACAAGUUAAAGCCAAAACGCUCUCUGCAACCAAUACCUUGGUACAGGGUCACGAAUCUCUGGAAUUAGUGGUUCAGACAUUUCAUCGAACACCUUUUGGGCGCGGAAAUGUCUGGGCUCAAAUUCCAGUUGAUCAGAAAGCAAUAGGCAUUAAGAACAACUAAUCCAGAAGGGAUCUAUCAAUCAAUACUCAAUCACCUAGCAUACUGAGAAUUCUACACUACUCUAACCCAUCCUCAGAAACCUAUUCACUACUUAGACAUCAUAACAGAAAGCAUAAACGUUGAACAGGUUGAAGACAUGAUAACAACAGUGUAACAGUAGUGUGAUAACAGAAUGAACAACAGUAAACGAAAAUCAAGAACCAAAGCUGAAUACUGAAUAGAUAAAGAGAAAUCUGGAUUAUAAAAAGUCUAGAACACAAGGUAUGCGGAAAUAAAACUAGGUAAAAACUUCUUUUCUGCGAAAAUGAGAAGUACAUGCUACUUAUAGCCAAAUAUCCCGAAACCCUAACACUCAAAACGACGAAGUAUUUGGACGGGUUAAGAACUGUACUCGACCCAGGUGGUCGAGUGAGAGGUCGAGUGAAUAGCUGGAGUCUUCUUUUCCUCCUUGUGCUCGAGUGUCUGGUUGAGUGCAGAAUGAAGAAGGCUCUGAAGCUUGUCAUCGAGUAUGCAGUCGAGUGGUGUGAUGGAGGUACUCGACCUCUAGGAAGAGUGAUGUGGUCGAGUAGUGGUCUGGCAGUGAAGGUGAAGACACUCGACCUCAUGGUCGAGUGAAGUGAUCGAGUGAUGGAGACGAGGGCACUCGACCUCGUGUUCGAGUGGUGAAGUGAAGUGGUGAUGUCCUCUGCUCGACCUGGGGGUCGAGUGGUCUCUUGAGGUCUUGAAGCUCCUACUCGACCUCUGGGUCGAGUGGUUUGUCACGAUCAGGUCCGCUUCUUCCUGAUAGCUCGUCAACAGCUCCAAAUCACCUGAAAUCAACGCAAAUAUGCAACAUGCAUGCAAAACUAUCCUAAACAUGCAAAGUGAUGACAAAUGAUGUGAAAUGGUAUAAAACAGUGAUGAUAUGAUGCUAAAGUGAUGACAAAUGGAUGCUCAAAACAUGCAAAAUACACACUUAUCAGGCUACACCAUCAAAUCUUUGAGAAGCAAGAAGAAUAUUGGUUAGUGUUUUGGAGUGAAAUAUGACUAGAUGUCAUGUGUAUGAGUAAGUAUA
rnacentral:sRNA from 1 species